rnacentral:rRNA from 1 species
UACGAGGGGGGCGAGCGUUGUUCGGAAUUAUUGGGCGUAAAGGGUGCGUAGGCGGUUUGGUAAGUCUUGUGUGAAAUCUACAGGCUCAACUUGUAGUCUGCACGAGAGACUGCCGGGCUUGAGUAUGGGAGAGGUGAGUGGAAUUCCUGGUGUAGCGGUGAAAUGCGUAGAUAUCAGGAGGAACACCUGUGGCGAAAGCGGCUCACUGGACCAUAACUGACGCUGAUGCACGAAAGCUAGGGGAGCAAACAGG